UGGGGAAUUUUGGACAAUGGGCGAAAGCCUGAUCCAGCAAUGCCGCGUGUGUGAAGAAGGCCUUCGGGUUGUAAAGCACUUUUGUCCGGAAAGAAAUCCUUGGCUCUAAUACAGUCGGGGGAUGACGGUACCGGAAGAAUAAGCACCGGCUAACUACGUGCCAGCAGCCGCGGUAAUACGUAGGGUGCAAGCGUUAAUCGGAAUUACUGGGCGUAAAGCGUGCGCAGGCGGUUUGCUAAGACCGAUGUGAAAUCCCCGGGCUCAACCUGGGAACUGCAUUGGUGACUGGCAGGCUAGAGUAUGGCAGAAGGGGGGUAGAAUUCCACGUGUAGCAGUGAAAUGCGUAGAGAUGUGGAGGAAUACCGAUGGCGAAGGCAGCCCCCUGGGCCAAUACUGACGCUCAUGCACGAAAGCGUGGGGAGCAAACAGGAUUAGAUACCCUGGUAGUCCACGCCCUAAACGAUGUCAACUAGUUGUUGGGGAUUCAUUUCCUUAGUAACGUAGCUAACGCGUGAAGUUGACCGCCUGGGGGAGUACGGUCGCAAGAUUAAAACUCAAAGGAAUUGACGGGGUCAUAGCUGUUUCCU
rnacentral:rRNA from 1 species